UACGUAGGUGGCAAGCGUUGUCCGGAUUUACUGGGCGUAAAGGGCGUGCAGGCGGUCUGUUAAGUUCAGGGUGAAAGCUCCCGGCUCAACUGGGAGAGGUCCUUGGAUACUGGCAGACUUGAGGGAGGUAGAGGAGAGUGGAAUUCCCGGUGUAGUGGUGAUAUGCGUAGAUAUCGAGAGGAACACCUGCGGCGAAGGCGGGUUGCUGGGCCGACACUGACGCUGAUGCGCGAAAGCCAGGGGAGCGAACGGG
rnacentral:rRNA from 1 species